rnacentral:lncRNA from 1 species
GGGACCUCCAAUGGAGAUGGACCAAGGCCAAAAUUCCACAGAGGUUGCAGAAUUGCCCCUUCCUUCAGCAAGGGUUGAGGAACACCUCCCAUCCGAUCCAUCCAAACCACUACAUGGUCUUAAGCCAGGCAACUGGAUCAUGAUAAAGAAUCCCAGCAGCAGGCGAAGGAAACAUUGCCUCUGGGUGGGUCCACACCAGGUGCUGCAAACAUCUGACACGCACAUCAUGAUUGCUGAAGGAGCAACCUGGUUGGAUAGCAGCCAGUUUGAGAAGUUGUCUUAGUAUUAUGAGUGUUCUUUAACAAAUGUUCAAUAAUGUAAAUAAUAUUUAAUGUCUGUGACGGGUUCUGGGUGUGUCAGCAACAAUAAACACUUUCUGCUUGCUGUCCAGUUUCUAUCAGGCAUUGAUUCCUUAACCAAUCACAUUUCCAUCCUCUGAUUUGCUGGUCCAAGCAAAAUUGUUAGUGUUAGGUUUUGGGUUUUUUCCAGGACCCAAAAGCAGGCAGAAUGCAGUGGUAAAAAGUCUAAGUUUUUAUUCAAAGAUCAAUUUGGCUCCUGGACCGCAGGGAGGCACUCAUCCGGUCUUCCGGGGCACACAAAGACCUCCAGCAUGGAGCCAACACGGGAGUCAGGUCCUGCACGUUCUACAGUCCAGCAGGGCAGCGUGGAGACCUCAAACGAGCAGGGAAAAACAGAUCAACAAGUUGCAAACAACCAAAGAAGAGGAAACAGGAGUCAGCUCUACCAUGGGAAACCACCAAAACUCUCCAACACUGGCAGACAGGCGCUCCGUCCUUAAAUAGGUGGCCUGAUGUAGAUUGCCGACAGGUGCGCCUGCCUGCAGUGCUAGCUGUGGGAAAUGAUCAGCUCCUCCACGCCCCCUGCAGGAAACACCAUACAACACACUUUUGUAGUGAUGUAAACACAUUAACACAUGAUGACUAUGGACAAAAAAGAAAAGAAUUGUUCUGGACAUGCUGAAUUACCUAUUUUUAAAGCAGACUUCUCCAGAAAAGGUUGACAUAAGGACAGGUUGGCCAACCUUUACGUUAGCUAGCUUGUCUCUGCCUGGGC